UACGAAGGGAGCUAGCGUUACUCGGAAUUACUGGGCGUAAAGCGUGCGUAGGUGGUGAGUUAAGUCUGUCGUGAAAGCCCCGGGCUCAACCUGGGAAUGGCGAUGGAUACUGGCUCGCUAGAGUGCGGUAGAGGAGAGUGGAAUUCCCGGUGUAGCAGUGAAAUGCGUAGAGAUCGGGAGGAACAUCAGUUGCGAAGGCGGCUCUCUGGACCAGCACUGACACUGAGGCACGAAAGCGUGGGGAGCAAACAGG
rnacentral:rRNA from 1 species